AACGAACGCUGGCGGCAGGCUUAACACAUGCAAGUCGAACGCACCUUUCGGGGUGAGUGGCCGACGGGUGAGUAACGCGUGGGAAUCUACCCUUCUCUACGGGAUAGCUCCGGGAAACUGGAAUUAAUACCGUAUACGUCCUGAGGGAGAAAGAUUUAUCGGGGAAGGAUGAGCCCGCGUUGGAUUAGCUAGUUGGUGGGGUAAAGGCCUACCAAGGCGACGAUCCAUAGCUGGUCUAAGAGGAUGAUCAGCCACAUUGGGACUGAGACACGGCCCAAACUCCUACGGGAGGCAGCAGUGGGGCAUAUUGGACAAUGGGCGCAAGCCUGAUCCAGCCAUGCCGCGUGAGUGAUGAAGGCCCUAGGGUUGUAAAGCUCUUUCAGUGGGGACGAUAAUGACGGUACCCACAGAAGAAGCCCCGGCUAACUUCGUG
rnacentral:rRNA from 1 species